GCGCUCGCAGAGUAUACCAGUUUACUGGUAUACGAAGCGAAGACAAUCACAACGGACCCAAUCAACCCCGGACUAGGGAAGAGACGGCGAGGGAAAAUCGAAUGGAAGUGCUGGAGUACACGAGCGGCGGACGGCUGAGUAACGCGUAGGAACGUACCCCAAACUGAGGGAUAAGCACCAGAAAUGGUGUCUAAUACCGCAUGUGCUCUAAGGAGUAAAGCUUCGGCGGUUUGGGAACGGCCUGCGUACGAUUAGAUUGUUGGUGAGGUAAUGGCUCACCAAGUCGACGAUCGUUAGCUGGUCUGAGAGGAUGAUCAGCCAGACUGGGACUGAGAACGGCCCAGACUCCUACGGGAGGCAGCAGUAGGGAAUUUUCCACAAUGGACGAAAGUCUGAUGGAGCAACGCCGCGUGCAGGAUGAAUGCCUUCGGGUUGUAAACUGCUUUUAUCUGUGACGAAUAUGACGGUAGCAGAUGAAUAAGGAUCGGCUAACUCCGUG
rnacentral:rRNA from 1 species